AUACGGAGGAUCCGAGCGUUAUCCGGAUUUAUUGGGUUUAAAGGGUGCGCAGGCGGCCAUUUAAGUCAGCGGUUAAAUCGUGGGGCUCAACCCCAUUCUGCCGUUGAUACUGGGUGGCUUGAUUGCGGUCGAGGUUGGCGGAAUUCGUUGUGUAGCGGUGAAAUGCAUAGAUAUGACGAAGAACACCGAUUGCGUAGGCAGCUGACCAGAUCGCAAGUGACGCUCAUGCACGAAAGUGCGGGGAUCAAACAGGAUUAGAUACCCUGGUAGUCCGCACAGUAAACGAUGAAUACUUGUUUUCGGCGAUAUAAUGUCGGAGGCAAAGCGAAAGCGAUAAGUAUUCCACCUGGGGAGUACGCCGGCAACGGUGAAACUCAAAUGAAUUGACGGGG
rnacentral:rRNA from 1 species